UUCCGAUGAAGUAAAUAUUUAUUUCAAGUUUUUAUCUUAUGACGCAUAUAUUGUUUUAACGAUGUAACUUUAAGUUAUUAUGCUUCUAUGAAAAAAAAUAUUUUAUGGCUUUAAUGUACGUUUUUAUACAUACUUUUCUAUUAUACUAAAACAACACUGCAAUACAUGCACACAACAAAUCGUCAACAAUCUGAAACGACGGCUAUGCGUUACAUCAUACGUCAUUACUUCUCGAAAACUAACAGUUACAUUACACACCCAACAAGCAAAUUAAAUACAAAAUUCUAUAUUUAAAAAGCAUCGUCGCCCUUCAAGAUUUCCAAACCACCGCUAUCCACAUUCCAGAUACAAGUUACUCAACAAAUAUGAAGUCGCAACAGAUGGAAAGCAUCCUAACCAACCUCAUUGCUCACUAGGAGGCUGAAAAGCUAUCACUCAAAAACAUGCAAGAUGAAUGUUGGGAACACAAAAAAUACAAGAGCGAACUCAUGACAGAGAUGGACUCCAAACCAUCAUCUGAAAACUACCUGGAGAUGCAGAAGCUGUUGUUGGACAACAAGUAUAAGCCUGCAAAAUUGUUGAAGGUCAUUCAAGAAAUGGAAAAGAAAUAUGAGGAGCUUAUCAACUAUGUCAAAAAAGAUAUCAAAAACCUCCCCGAAGACAAACAUCCAUACGUCUAAUAUGUUUCUUUGUCUUAUAAUCUUUUGAUAUGUUGCUGUCUUCAACUAUUUACUUUCCUAAAUCUCUAUGUAAGACAUAUCCCAAAAAACCUAUGUAUGUUAACCAUAUGUUUAUCAAUAUAACAGUAUGUUCCAGUAGUACAUAUACAAGUUGAAAGAACAAAAAAAAAAUUUGAAUCAACGCCAACGAGCGCCAUGAUUCCAUCUUGUUAUUAUGAAUUCACUAAUGAAAUGUAUUAUCUACAUUAAUUAAUAUAUUAAUAGAAACAAGAAUUUAAAAAUAGAAAGUUAUUAAAUUACAUUAAUUAAUAUAUUUAUAGAAUUAAUUAAUAUAAGGUGACAUUUAAUAGGUGAGAUUUGAAUAAAAAAGAAAAAAAACUAUAAAAAUGACAAGUGGAUAUUAAAUAAUUCAAAAAGAUCUAGAAAAUGGCAAGUGUCAAAAUGAAGGAGGAGAGGACAUGUGGCAAAAUCAUAAUAUUUACCAACGAAAAGCAUAACGAGCCACGUCGUAUUAUGGAUUACUUGACAGUCCCUCGACAAACGAUAGAAUGUAUGAAUAAGCAAUGCUAUAGGCAGGAAAAAAAUUACGCAUGGAAGUCUAAUGCUAUAGCCAGGAAAACAUCACACAUGGAUGUCUAUAAGUAGACUUUACAAAAUUUAUACACAUAAACUGCCAAUAUACCACACAUAUAAAUAGUUUCUUUUAUAAAUAUACACCACAUAAAAGAGCAUAUAUAUAUAUAUAUAUAUAUAUANNNNNNNNNNNNNNNNNNNAUAACAAAAUGAAUAACAAAGAUUUCAACAAAGGUUUGGAGAUUAUGAUCGACUUCAUUAGGGAAAUUGCUGACAUACUUGAAGCAAUUCAAUCCAGACUAGAGGAAUGUUUCAGCAUCGACGAAAAUAUCAUACUAUACAUAACAUAUCAUCCUGACGAUGUUGAAGUCCAAACACUCCGUAAUAUGUUUGAGAAAGCAAAAACAGAAGAUCAGUCCGUGCAGGACAACAUCUAUUUCAUGUGGGGAUCAAUCCACAAAAGAUUCGGAAAGUACAAACGCACGAUGAAAGACACAACCACCGACUAAACACCCGGUUUCCUACUUUAAAAUUAUUAGACGAUCUAUGUAGAUACAACAAUGUAACAGGAGGUGUAAUCGUUGCAAUGUUUAUAAAUAAACUUACUUUAUCUAUUAAAAGACGUCUAAAUAUUAAAACAAUCCAAACGUACUAAAUUAUGAAUGCCUAACUUCCAACCACACUUGUGCAUAUCAAAAACACGUAAUUAACUAACAAAUUACUCGUCACACGCCAUGUACAACACGUGUCAGCUAACAUUAAAAACAUUAAUUAAAUAAACACUAUAAAUCCAAUAUUCGACUGCAAACACAACCACAGUUCGUACAAAACUACCAACAAAAAAAACCCACUACACCAUGAAACACUUCGAAGUUGAACACAUGAUCAAUACUAUACUCCAUCAAAAAAAACAAAUGACAAAAAGUAUUCGUACACUAAAACGCAACAUUAGAUCAGCCAAAGCUAUCCAAGAAAAUCUUGCAUAAACAUUAACGGAAGCGCCACACUUUCUAAACUACGCAAUCUCGGCCCAAAUAUUGGACACCGAGGACGCUUUCAACACAAAAGCAAACAACACAGUCGUUACAUUGGAGGAAGAGAUUAAUGAAACCAUCACAACACUAAAGAAAGUCCUAGAUAAUCUUCCGGUGAAGUAAAUAUUUAUUUCAAGUUUUUAUCUUAUGACGCUUAUAAUGAUUUAACGAUGUAACUUUAAGUUAUUAUGCUUCUAUGAAAAAAAUAUUUUAUGGCUUUAAUGUAAGUUUUUAUACUUACUUUUCUAUUAUACUAAAACAACACUACAAUACAUGCACAAAGCAAAUCGUCAACAAUCUGAAACGACGGCUAUACGUUACAUCAUACAUCAUUACUUCUCGAAAGUUAACAGUUACAUAAAACACCCAACAACCAAAUUAAAUACAAAAUUCUAUAUUUAAAAAGCAUCGUCGCCCUUCAAGAUAUUCAAACCACCACUAUCCACAUUCCAGAUACAAGUUACUCAACAAAUAUGAAGCGGCAACAGAUGGAAAUCAUCCUAACCAACCUUAUUGCUCACUAUGAGGCUGAAAAGCUAUCACUCAAAAAC
rnacentral:lncRNA from 1 species